UGAAGUAUAUGCGCUUUCCGCCUCUCGAAUUAUUGUGCAAUGAUUAAUUUUGCUGUAAGCUUUUAUCCAUUGCAAUUUGCAUGUGAUUUCGGAAGUUUUUUUGUUCGGAUAAGUACUCAAUGGAGCCUUGUUUUUUAUUGGUACUCAUCACUGACAUCAGUUAAAGAUUUUUGGCCAAAGGAAACAUCUAUUCCAAGCUGGCAGAUCUUCAUGGAAUCAGCAGAUCAUCUUUAGUUAUUUGACAUGCCUUCACGAGUUCAAUCAGCAAACAUAUGAUUGGUUUCCAGUCCGUGUACAACAACAAACUUGCAUGAAGGUUGGAUUCUGCCACAAGGCCCGGGAGCAGUGGAUGGGACUCUCAUACCCAUAAUACUGAAUACGUUAUAUUACACACAUGCAGUUGAACACAGCGGGAACUCUUGAAGAAAAAAAUGUGUAUUUUUUUUAUUCGAACUUAAAUGUUAAAUAUAUAUUUAAUUUUAGCUCGACUAUACCUUGAAUGAUAAGCUGUGUAUAAAAUUAUGGUAAACAUGCAACAUCCUUAUAUCACUGUUUCUAUUACAUAUUUUCAUUAAAAGCACUUAUGUAUUCAGGGUCAUUAUGUCAUUGUGAGGUCACUGACCAAGUUGCUUAUCUCUGACCUGCAUUUAGCUUAAUAAUGCCCCUUUUGUACUUAAAAUGUUCCACUUAAAUUGUGUGUACAGCUACUCCAUACUAUAUUUUCCACAGAUAAUCCUUCACAUAUGUCGUCAGAUUUUUUUUUAAUCAUAU